CCCUUAUCCUUUGUUGCCAGCGAGUAAUGUCGGGAACUCAAAGGAGACUGCCGGUGAUAAACCGGAGGAAGGUGGGGAUGACGUCAAGUCAUCAUGGCCCUUACGAGUAGGGCUACACACGUGCUACAAUGGCAUAUACAAAGAGAAGCGAACUCGCGAGAGCAAGCGGACCUCAUAAAGUAUGUCGUAGUCCGGAUUGGAGUCUGCAACUCGACUCCAUGAAGUCGGAAUCGCUAGUAAUCGUAGAUCAGAAUGCUACGGUGAAUACGUU
rnacentral:rRNA from 1 species